rnacentral:rRNA from 1 species
GUAGGUGGCAAGCGUUGUCCGGAAUUAUUGGGCGUAAAGCGCGCGCAGGCGGUCCUUUAAGUCUGAUGUGAAAGCCCACGGCUCAACCGUGGAGGGUCAUUGGAAACUGGGGGACUUGAGUACAGAAGAGGAAAGCGGAAUUCCAAGUGUAGCGGUGAAAUGCGUAGAGAUUUGGAGGAACACCAGUGGCGAAGGCGGCUUUCUGGUCUGUAACUGACGCUGAGGCGCGAAAGCGUGGGGAGCAAACAGGGAUUAGAUACCCUGGUAGUCCACGCCGUAAACGAUGAGUGCUAAGUGUUAGGGGGUUUCCCGCCCCUUAGUGCUGCAGCUAACGCAUUAAGCACUCCGCCUGGGGAGUACGGCCCGCAAAGGCUG